rnacentral:rRNA from 1 species
UGGGGAAUAUUGCACAAUGGGCGCAAGCCUGAUGCAGCCAUGCCGCGUGUGUGAAGAAGGCCUUCGGGUUGUAAAGCACUUUCAGCGGGGAGGAAGGCGAUAAGGUUAAUAACCUCAUCGAUUGACGUUACCCGCAGAAGAAGCACAGGCUAACUCCGUGCCAGCAGCCGCGGUAAUACGGAGGGUGCAAGCGUUAAUCGGAAUUACUGGGCGUAAAGCGCACGCAGGCGGUCUGUCAAGUCGGAUGUGAAAUCCCCGGGCUCAACCUGGGAACUGCAUUCGAAACUGGCAGGCUAGAGUCUUGUAGAGGGGUGUAGAAUUCCAGGUGUAGCGGUGAAAUGCGUAGAGAUCUGGAGGAAUACCGGUGGCGAAGGCUGCCCCCUGGACAAAGACUGACGCUCAGGUGCGAAAGCGUGGGGAGCAAACAGG